UACGGAGGGUGCAAGCGUUAUCCGGAUUCACUGGGUUUAAAGGGUGCGUAGGAGGACAGGGAAGUCAGUGGUGAAAUCUCCGGGCUUAACCCGGAAACUGCCGUUGAUACUCUCUGUCUUGAAUAUUGUGGAGGUGAGCGGAAUAUGUCAUGUAGCGGUGAAAUGCUUAGAUAUGACAUAGAACACCAAUUGCGAAGGCAGCUCGCUACACAUAUAUUGACUCUGAGGCACGAAAGCGUGGGGAUCAAACAGG
rnacentral:rRNA from 1 species